rnacentral:rRNA from 1 species
GACGAACGCUGGCGGCGUGCUUAACACAUGCAAGUCGAGCGAGGUCCAUCCGGUGGCAACACCGGGGAAGACCUAGCGGCGAACGGGUGAGUAACACGUGAGCAACCUGCCCCGAAGACUGGGAUAACACCGGGAAACCGGUGCUAAUACCGGAUGCCCUCAUGAGAUCGCAUGGUCAUUUGAGGAAACGACUGCAUCUAAUAAAUGCAGCUUGCUUCGGGAGGGGCUCGCGGGCUAUCAGCUUGUUGGUGAGGUAACGGCUCACCAAGGCGACGACGGCUAGCUGGUCUGAGAGGACGACCAGCCACACUGGGACUGAGACACGGCCCAGACUCCUACGGGAGGCAGCAGUGGGGAAUCUUGCGCAAUGGGCGAAAGCCUGACGCAGCAACGCCGC